rnacentral:lncRNA from 1 species
GCGGCUCACAUGUCUGGGUUCUAACCUGGAAGGCAUCCUGGAAUCUGGAAGAGAAGAGGGGACUAGGUGAUGCGAGAAAGAUGAAACCAAGGUUCAAUUUUUCUAUUCCAGACACUGAGUUAUGAGCAGCGGGAAGGGGCCCAUUCCCACCAAAUCAUCCUGGAGUCCAGUUUCAGGUGACCACGUGUUUGGCUCCAGAACAGCUAGGGGGCAGGCAGCAGCAGUGGGAGUGACAGAACGAUAGGGUGGCAGGCUCCAUCCCGAUGCUCUCUUCUUGCUAACAGUGAAACCUGAGCAACCAGGUUUCAGGCUGAGGUGGGGGAGGUUACAGUUUUGAUUUUCAAAAUAGGUGUGAUUUUGAGUUUUGUGGUUAUAAUAUUCUGUUGGGAGAGAUGUCUAAAUAAAGGGUUUUCUUAUUACUGGCUCAAGGAUACAUUGAUCUGGGAAAAAGGUUUUGUUUUUGUGUUUUUGGAAAAGGUGAUUCAGGUUUUUACACCAGAGUUAUAUGGAUCAGAUUUGAUAAAGGAAAACCCCCUGAAGAACUAGAUUCUAGAGAAUCAAACAAAAAGGUUAUCUUAAUGAUACUAAAACAUUGUUUUGAGAUCGUAUAUUACAGAAUAUACAGCCUUGGUGAGUCUCUGCUUGAACUCCAGUUAUCUUGGACUUUCAGCAGGAUCCAGUCAAGACACAGACUUCAGAGAGACAAUCAAUCAUUGGUGUGGUUUUCUUAAGGCCAACCAACUCUAUUUUCCCUACUCCUCCUUAAAAAUAUCUCAACGUCCAUAUUCAGCUUGAAAAAAAUCCAUUGACCCAGUUCCCUGGGCUUUGCAGCUAUAGGGGAUUAUUAUAGGUUGUCAUUCUAGGGAAUGUCAACUGGUCAUAAUUGGGAUAGGGAGGAAUAGAUAGAAUUGGUUGUAUAGCUAUAAUUCCAUUUUGUAGAAAUCUUUUUAAUUGUUACUAAGUUGAAGUUAUAAUUUCUUAUUUUGAUACAGAAUUUACUUUGGUGCAA